rnacentral:rRNA from 1 species
AUUGAACGCUGGCGGCAUGCUUUACACAUGCAAGUCGAACGGUAACAGGCCGCAAGGUGCUGACGAGUGGCGAACGGGUGAGUAAUGCAUCGGAACGUGCCCAGUCGUGGGGGAUAACGCAGCGAAAGCUGUGCUAAUACCGCAUACGAUCUGUGGAUGAAAGCGGGGGGCCUUCGGGCCUCGCGCGAUUGGAGCGGCCGAUGUCAGAUUAGGUAGUUGGUGGGGUAAAGGCUCACCAAGCCGACGAUCUGUAGCUGGUCUGAGAGGACGACCAGCCACACUGGGACUGAGACACGGCCCAGACCCCUACGGGAGGCAGCAGUGGGGAAUUUUGGACAAUGGGCGCAAGCCUGAUCCAGCAAUGCCGCGUGCAGGAAGAAGGCCUUCGGGUUGUAAACUGCUUUUGUACGGAGCGAAAAGGCUCCCUCUAAUACAGGGGGCUCAUGACGGUACCGUAAGAAUAAGCACCGGCUAACUACGUGCCAGCAGCCGCGGUAAUAC